rnacentral:rRNA from 1 species
GGGGAAGUUUCCGCAAUGGGGGCAACCCUGACGGAGCAAGACCGCGUGCGGGAAGAAGGUCUGUGGAUUGUAAACCGCUUUUGACAGGGAAGAACACAAUGACGGUACCNNNNNNAUCAGCCUCGGCUAACUCCGUGCCAGCAGCCGCGGUAAUACGGAGGAGGCAAGCGUUAUCCGGAAUUAUUGGGCGUAAAGCGUCCGCAGGUGGCUCUGUAAGUCUGCUGUCAAAGGAUGGAGCUUAACUCCAUAAAGGCAGUGGAAACUACCGAGCUAGAGUGCGGUAGGGGCAAGGGGNNNNNCCAGUGUAGCGGUGAAAUGCGUAGAUAUUGGGAAGAACACCGGUGGCGAAAGCGCCUUGCUGGGUCUGCACUGGCACUGAGGGACGAAAGCUAGGGGAGCGAAAGGGAUUAGAUACCCCAGUAGUC